rnacentral:rRNA from 1 species
UUGCUCUUCAACGAGGAAUGCCUAGUAAGCGCAUGUCAUCAGCAUGCGUUGAUUACGUCCCUGCCCUUUGUACACACCGCCCGUCGCUACUACCGAUUGAAUGGCUCAGUGAGGCCCUCGGACUGGCUUGAGGAGGUUGGCAACGACCACCUUGAGCCGGAAAGUUCGUCAAACUCGGUCAUUUAGAGGAAGUAAAAGUCGUAACAAGGUUUCCGUAGGUGAACCUGCGGAAGGAUCAUUACCGAGAGUUGUAGGCUUCUGUCUACCAUCUCUUACCCAUGUCUUUUGCGUACUACACGUUUCCUCGGCAGGUCCGCCUGCCGCUAGGACAAAAUUAAACCAUUUGCAGUUGCAGUCAGCGUCUGAAAAACUUAAUAAUUACAACUUUCAACAACGGAUCUCUUGGUUCUGGCAUCGAUGAAGAACGCAGCGAAAUGCGAUAAGUAGUGUGAAUUGCAGAAUUCAGUGAAUCAUCGAAUCUUUGAACGCACAUUGCGCCCCUUGGUAUUCCAUGGGGCAUGCCUGUUCGAGCGUCAUUUGUACCUUCAAGCUCUGCUUGGUGUUGGGUGUUUGUCCCGCCUCUGCGCGUGGACUCGCCUUAAAGCAAUUGGCAGCCGGCGUAUAGAUUUCGGAGCGCAGCACAAAACGCGCUUUGUAACCAAUACGGUGGCGUCCAGUAAGCCUUUUUUUAACUCUUGACCUCGGAUCAGGUAGGGAUACCCGCUGAACUUAAGCAUAUCAAUAAGCGGAGGA